GAUGAACGCUAGCGGGAGGCCUAACACAUGCAAGCCGAGCGGUAUUUAUUCUUCGGAAUAGAGAGAGCGGCGUACGGGUGCGGAACACGUGUGCAACCUGCCUUUAUCAGGGGGAUAGCCUUUCGAAAGGAAGAUUAAUACACCAUAAUAUAUUGAUUGGCAUCAAUUGAUAUUGAAAACUCCGGUGGAUAAAGAAGGGCACGCGCAAGAUUAGAUAGUUGGUGAGGUAACGGCUCACCAAGUCGAUGAUCCUUAGGGGGCCUGAGAGGGUGAUCCCCCACACUGGUACUGAGACACGGACCAGACUCCUACGGGAGGCAGCAGUGAGGAAUAUUGGACAAUGGGUGAGAGCCUGAUCCAGCCAUCCCGCGUGAAGGACGACGGUUCUAUGGAUUGUAAACUUCUUUUAUAUAGGGAUAAACCUACUUACGUGUAAGUAGCUGAAGGUACUAUAUGAAUAAGCACCGGCUAACUCCGUGCCAGCCGCCGCCGUAA
rnacentral:rRNA from 1 species